rnacentral:misc_RNA from 1 species
AAACCAUCAAGCCUCGCUUGGUAUUGGACUCGGUCGAGUGACCCGUCCGUAACCCGUUGGCGGUGCAGUCCGGCUUCAAGCGUAGCAGAAUUUUCGCUUCAGGAGUCCGCGGCAGUGCCUGCCGGAGAAAUUCAAUCCAAA